rnacentral:rRNA from 1 species
UACGAAGGGGGCUAGCGUUGCUCGGAAUUACUGGGCGUAAAGCGCACGUAGGCGGCUUUCUAAGUCGGGGGUGAAAUCCUGGAGCUCAACUCCAGAACUGCCUUUGAUACUGAGGAUCUUGAGUUCGGGAGAGGUGAGUGGAACUGCGAGUGUAGAGGUGAAAUUCGUAGAUAUUCGCAAGAACACCAGUGGCGAAGGCGGCUCACUGGCCCGAUACUGACGCUGAGGCACGAAAGCGUGGGGAGCAAACAGG